UACGUAGGGUGCGAGCGUUGUCCGGAAUUAUUGGGCGUAAAGAGCUUGUAGGCGGUUUGUCGCGUCUGCCGUGAAAAUCCGAGGCUCAACCUCGGACUUGCGGUGGGUACGGGCAGACUAGAGUGUGGUAGGGGAGACUGGAAUUCCUGGUGUAGCGGUGAAAUGCGCAGAUAUCAGGGGGAACACCGAUGGCGAAGGCAGGUCUCUGGGCCACUACUGACGCUGAGAAGCGAAAGCAUGGGGAGCGAACAGG
rnacentral:rRNA from 1 species